CCGGAACAUUUGCUCUAUUCAAAACACGAAACGAAAACUUUAUUGUUUCAUUUUGAUGAUCUAAUUGGUGACGAGUAAGAAAGUCAAGUUUUGGUUUAUUUUUUAUUUUUUUUUUUUUUUGUGUAGUUUUCUUGAUAAUUGGAAAAACGGGGAAGUUUACGCCUUUAUCGAUCACAUCAAUUCCGAAUUUAUUUUUAGUUGUAUUUCGGUGGAAUAAUAUAUCAGCACAUUUCGGCGAUUUUUGAGCUGUUUAAACG